rfam:Firmicutes bacterium MLFW-2 MLFW-2_Contig_9_85X, whole genome shotgun sequence.
GGCAUACUUCAACCGCACGGAAAAGGUCUUAAACUACGGAAGUAGUACCUUUACAUCGGCGAGUCUAAGUUAAUAG